GGGGGGCGGGAACGGCUUGUCGCCUUGGUAACAGGGAUGUGUCAGGUGUGUGAGGCGCGGAGUGAUUCCGUGUCUUCCUCUCCAGCGCUGCGAGACACAAAACCGCGAUGAAGAGGCGAAGUAUUGACGGUGUUCACACUGAGCGGCAUUUACGUUAUUACCGUCCCCGCAUCUGUACUUGUUUGCCUACAGAGAGGAAACCUUGAAAUUUGGAUCCCGCCACUGAGACAAGACAUCCUGGACGUUAUUACCGUCCCCACAUCACUCCCUGUGUGUCGGACUUGAUACAGAGAGAAAACCUUAAAGCUUGCAUCGCGCCACCAAGACAUCCUGGAUGACCCUAAUGAUUAGACAGUCCGGCCAGUAUCCUGGAUCUCACACUUACAUACCAGAAGAUAAAUAACUAAGGAUGAUGAGCAAUCAUUAUAUUCUUUUUAAACCGAAUGUUUCCUCUGUAGAUUGUGAUCGGUUCACAAAAAUAUCAGACACCGGAAUCCAGGUACAGCACAGGAAACUGGGAAUUCUACACCGAAAGGCAAAAUAAUGCCAUCAUGCUUGGUAAACAAAUGUACCAGUAGUACUGGAAGAAAAGCUCAAGAUCCAGACAUAAAAUUUCACAAAUUUCCAAAAGAACCACGAAGGUUAAGAAUUUGGCUAGAACAGACUGGGCAGACAUUUACGAACUUGGAAGGAUUAGUCGAGAAAAUACAAGAAGGAUAUAAACAGAACAAAUAUUAUAUUUGUUCCCAACACUUUUCUAAGGAUUCAUACUAUGAUACUCCGAAAGGUCCAGCUUUAACACCAUAUGCUAUGCCCUCUAUUUUUCCAGCCAUAAAGGAAGGGGAGUAUUUGAUUGAGGAAAGUUUAAAAAAGAAACGGUAUUACCCUCCGCAACGCAAGAAAAGAACAUCAAGAUCCGGUUUAAACGUUGAGUCGACUGCUACCUCUUCUGACAAUAUGACUCUGGGCACGGAUACCACUCCAGAAUUUGAAAUUUUAAUUCCACAAUUUAGAUCUGUGGCAACACAAACAGAUUUCACCUUAACAAAUUCUAAAGUGGGUUUUUUGGAAACAAAGGAGGUGACUAGAGAAUUGUUGGAGGCUUCUGAAAAUCAGUACUUUUGCCAAAUAAGUCCUUGUGUGUCAACUCCAAUUGAAAAAACUGGUAAAAUAACCUUAUUGGAUUCCCGAGAAUUUUCAUCUCCUUUAUGCAACAGACCCCAUGUAAAAACUGUUUUGUUCAUAAAAUCCGAACAUGAGAAUUCAUAGCAGAUCGGGCUUCUCUCUCCCAUCUUGUAUGGAAAGGGACAACAAGGUGAAACCAUGGAUUUUCAAGAAGUUAAAGGGGUAUUCCAGGCAAAAACUUUUUUUUAUAUAUCAACUGGCUCUAG